rnacentral:lncRNA from 1 species
GCUACAACAUCGGAGUUUGUUAGUCAUGACUAGACUAGUACUAAUACAACAUUUAACCACAGUAGAAAAUCUCAAAUAUCCCUUUCUACUUCUUUCGUGGUUCCAAUCAGAACCUCAGGUUAGGUACCGGCAAAUGUACUAUAUGCGUGUCUGGACAGUCCCCCCGGGAGAAGGGGAGCGGGGGUUGGCCUUGGUAGAGAUUAAAGAACCUCUCAAAGCAUUUUGAUCUCUUUACAAGCUUACAAAACAUUAGGAGCUUUGAGGGCAGAUCAGCAGAAAAUCAAAAUAUGAUAUUAUGGUAGGGGGGGGGGGGGGGGAAUAAUAAAGGAAAGGGGGGGUCACGAGGGUCUCAUGAGAUGGUGGUGAAACCCAUUUUUCUGAGUCCAAUCUUGAGGUCUUACUAUCUGCUGUGGGUCAGAGAAAACAAUAAUAAUUAAUAUAUGUUGUCAAGAAAAAAAAAGAAAAAGAAAAAGAAACAAGUCAGCCAUCGGCCUCCACUGUUUUUGUUCUCUCCCCAAACGCCCUUGGUUGAGAAAGCUUUUGGAAACAGUUUUCGGUUUGGUCAAGUCCCUCUCGUCAUAAUAGCCAUGUCUGUCUGUCCUACUGCUUUUAGUCAUGAGAGGAGAACUGAUUCAAAGGACACCGACGAUUGUGACAAUUCAUCACUGUACGGUGUUAUUUCCCGUAAAAAUCCCAUUUUCUACCUCGAUCUCUUUUCACCUCCCCCAAGAAGAAAACCAAAGAAAAAAACCUACGUUCUCUGUCUCUGCUGCACGUUAAAUAUGGUAGCAAAAUUAACCCAAAAAGAAACACCCCCAUGCCCUUCCACACCCUCGUUGGAUCAAAAAGAUCAGUAGGAGAGUUUGCUAGAGAACACAAGAAAAGGCUUUUCUUGCAUGCUCGAGAGAGACUAAUUAAAUAGUAGAAGAACAAGAAACGCUCCGGAUCAGUCGACGACGCAGGCAAAAAUCACUCGAACGUGGAAACUAUAACAAAGAAGAUUAAUUCAGCAUGUAUUAGUAGCGCAACCACAGGACUUGACCUGAGAAGAGAGAGUCUCGACAACCAUUUUGAUUUUCUACAUACAUAAUGAGGAGGGUAACAAAGACAUGUUUUCUUGCGACACAUUUGAUGUUAGAAUCUAAGCUACAACAUCGGAGUUUGUUAGUCAUGACUAGACUAGUGUACUAAUACAACAUUUAGCCACAGUAGAAAAUCUCAAAUAUCCCUUUCUACUUUCUUUCGUGGUUCCAAUCAGAACCCCCAGGCUAGGUACCGGCAAAUGUACUAUAUGCGUGUCUGGACAGUCCCCCCGGGAGAAGGGGAGCGGGGGUUGGCCUUGGUAGAGAUUAAAGAACCUCUCAAAGCAUUUUGAUCUCUUUACAAGCUUACAAAA